AAGUCGUAACAAGGUUUCCGUAGGUGAACCUGCGGAAGGAUCAUUACUGAGUGAGGGCCCCUCGGGGUCCAACCUCCCACCCGUGUUUAACGAACCUUGUUGCUUCGGCGAGCCCGCCUCACGGCCGCCGGGGGGCAUCUGCCCCCGGGCCCGCGCCCGCCGAAGCCACCUGUGAACUCGUCUGAAGUAUGUAGUCUGAGACAAUUAUUAAAUUAAUUAAAACUUUCAACAACGGAUCUCUUGGUUCCG
rnacentral:misc_RNA from 1 species